rnacentral:rRNA from 1 species
AGCUCCAAUAGCGUAUAUUAAAGUUGUUGCAGUUAAAAAGCUCGUAGUUGGAUUUGUGGAUGCACACAAGAUCUAAUUUUAGUGUCCCGAUGUGUUGCCAUCAUUGAGUGGAACCUGUGUGGCAUUAGGUUGUCGGAUAGGGGAUGCCCAUCGUUUACUGUGAAAAAAUUAGAGUGUUCAAAGCAGGCUUAUGCCGUUGAAUAUAUUAGCAUGGAAUAAUGAGAUAAGACCUCGGUAUUAUUUUGUUGGUUUGUGCACUGAGGUAAUGAUUAAUAGGGACAGUUGGGGGUAUUCGUAUUCCAUUGUCAGAGGUGAAAUUCUUGGAUUUCUGGAAGACGAACUACUGCGAAAGCAUUUACCAAGGAUGUUUUCA